rnacentral:rRNA from 1 species
UACGUAGGGGGCUAGCGUUGUUCGGAAUUACUGGGCGUAAAGCGCGCGUAGGCGGUCCUGCAAGUCGGGGGUGAAAGCCCGAGGCUCAACCUCGGAACUGCCUUCGAUACUGCGGGUCUCGAGUCCGGGAGAGGUGAGUGGAAUUCCUAGUGUAGAGGUGAAAUUCGUAGAUAUUCGCAAGAACACCAGUGGCGAAGGCGGCUCACUGGCCCGGUACUGACGCUGAGAUACGAAAGCGUGGGGAGCAAACAGG